rnacentral:rRNA from 1 species
UACGGAGGGCGCGAGCGUUGUCCGGAAUCACUGGGCGUAAAGGGCGCGUAGGCGGCCCUGGUAAGUCUGCGGUGAAAGCCCGGGGCUCAACCCCGGGUCGGCCGCGGGUACUGCCGGGCUGGAGUGCCGUAGGGGCAGGCGGAAUUCCGGGUGUAGCGGUGGAGUGCGUAGAGAUCCGGAAGAACACCGGUGACGAAGGCGGCCUGCUGGGCGGCGACUGACGCUGAGGCGCGACAGCGUGGGGAGCAAACAGG